rnacentral:tRNA from 1 species
GAGAUGGUGGGGUAGUUUGGUUAUCCUCUCUGUUUGUGGUGCGGAGGACCCGUGUUCGAAUCACGGCCGUCUCC